rnacentral:rRNA from 1 species
AUACCGUGAAACUGCGAAUGGCUCAUUAAAUCAGUUAUCGUUUAUUUGAUAGUACCUUACUACUUGGAUAACCGUGGUAAUUCUAGAGCUAAUACAUGCUAAAAACCCCGACUUCGGGAGGGGUGUAUUUAUUAGAUAAAAAACCAAUGCCCUUCGGGGCUCUUUGGUGAUUCAUGAUAACUUAACGGAUCGCAUGGCCUUGCGCCGGCGACGGUUCAUUCAAAUUUCUGCCCUAUCAACUUUCGAUGGUAAGGUAUUGGCUUACCAUGGUUUCAACGGGUAACGGGGAAUUAGGGUUCGAUUCCGGAGAGGGAGCCUGAGAAACGGCUACCACAUCCAAGGAAGGCAGCAGGCGCGCAAAUUACCCAAUCCCGACACGGGGAGGUAGUGACAAUAAAUACUGAUACAGGGCUCUUUUGGGUCUUGUAAUCGGAAUGAGUACAAUUUAAACCCCUUAACGAGGAACAAUUGGANNNNNNNNNNNNNNNNNNNNNNNNGGGUAAUUCCAGCUCCAAUAGCGUAUAUUAAAGUUGUUGCAGUUAAAAAGCUCGUAGUUGAACCUUGGGCCUGGCUGGCCGGUCCGCCUCACCGCGUGUACUGGUCCGGCCGGGCCUUUCCUUCUGGAGAGCCCCAUGCCCUUCACUGGGCGUGCGGGGGAACCAGGACUUUUACUUUGAAAAAAUUAGAGUGUUCAAAGCAGGCCUUUGCUCGAAUACGUUAGCAUGGAAUAAUAGAAUAGGACGUGCGGUCCUAUUUUGUUGGUUUCUAGGACCGCCGUAAUGAUUAAUAGGGAUAGUCGGGGGCAUCAGUAUUCAAUUGUCAGAGGUGAAAUUCUUGGAUUUAUUGAAGACUAACUACUGCGAAAGCAUUUGCCAAGGAUGUUUUCAUUAAUCAGUGAACGAAAGUUAGGGGAUCGAAGACGAUCAGAUACCGUCGUAGUCUUAACCGUAAACUAUGCCGACUAGGGAUCGGGCGAUGUUUCUAUCUUGACUCGCUCGGCACCUUACGAGAAAUCAAAGUUUUUGGGUUCUGG